GCCUAAAACCUAGCUUUAACAAAUCUCUAUAAACCCCCCCCCGAAUUUCUAAAACUAAUAAAACAUUCUUCAUCAUCUAGUAGAGGCGAUCAAAAAAUGUCUUUAAAGCUACAAAAAUAGUACCGCAAGGGAAAGGUGAAAUAGAAAUGAAAUAACUAUUAAGCCACAAAAAGCAGAGUUUUAAUCUCGUACCUUUUGCAUCAUGGUUUAGCCAGUCCAACCAAGCAAAAUGCAUUUUCAGUUUGACCCCCCGAAAUUAAGCGAGCUACUUCAAAACAGUCCAUUGGGGCAAACCCGUCUCUGUUGCAAAAGAGUGGGAAGAUUUUCAAGUAGAGGUGAUAAACCUAACGAGCUUAAAGAUAGCUGGUUAUUCAGGAAAAGGAUUUUAGUCCUACCUUAAGUUUUAUUAUAACUUCAAAUAUCUUCAUAAACUUAAGAGCUAUUCAAAUAAGGUACAGCCUAUUUGAACUAGGGUACAACCUACAAUAACGGUAUCGACAGCUNNNNNNNNNNNNNNNNNNNNNNNNNGCAGCCACCUUUUAAAAAGCUGCGUAGCUUUAUUAUUAAUUCAACUUAAUUCCCCCCUCUUAUCGAAACCCUCAAACACUACUGAAUGACUUCAUACAAUAUGAAAGACCAUAUGCUAAAACUAGUAACAAGAAGAAGAUCUUCUCUUAAAUGUGAGCGUAAGUCAUAAUGAACAAUUCACUGACAUUUAACGUUUAUGUAACAUAAAGUAGCAACUAAUCAAGAAAACCCUACUUAAAAUCACGUCAACCUUACACAAGAGCAUUUCUAGAAAGAUUAAAAGAGUGGGAAGGAACUCGGCAAACAAUUAACCUCGCCUGUUUACCAAAAACAUCGCCUCCUGAUUAAUUAUAGGAGGUCCAGCCUGCCCAGUGACCAAGUUAAACGGCCGCGGUACCCUAACCGUGCAAAGGUAGCGCAAUCACUUGUUCUUUAAAUGAGGACUAGUAUGAACGGCAUCACGAGGGUUAUACUGUCUCCCCCCUCCAAUCAGUGAAACUGAUCUCCCCGUGAAGAAGCGGGGAUAAAUUUAUAAGACGAGAAGACCCCAUGGAGCUUUAAACUCAGUACCACCUGCCCAUUUUUAUGGCCUAUCAACUAUGCAGUUUUGACUACUAGUUUUCGGUUGGGGUGACCACGGAGUAAAAAAAAACCUCCGCGAUGAAUGGACUUAUCCUCCUUAUCCAAGAGCCACAACUCUAAGAAUCAAAUAAUUGACAAAAAUUGAUCCAAGUAAUUUUGAUCAACGAACCAAGUUACCCUGGGGAUAACAGCGCAAUCUACUUCAAGAGCUCCUAUCGACAAGUGGGUUUACGACCUCGAUGUUGGAUCAGGGUAUCCCAGUGGCGCAGCAGCUACUAAAGGUUC
rnacentral:rRNA from 1 species